rnacentral:rRNA from 1 species
GAUGAACGCUGGCGGCGUGCCUAAUACAUGCAAGUCGAGCGAACGUACGAGAAGCUUGCUUCUCUGAUGUUAGCGGCGGACGGGUGAGUAACACGUGGAUAACCUACCUAUAAGACUGGGAUAACUUCGGGAAACCGUAGCUAAUACCGGAUAAUAUUUUGAACCGCAUGGUUCAAAAUUGAAAGACGGUCUUGCUGUCACUUAUAGAUGGAUCCGCGCUGCAUUAGCUAGUUGGUAAGGUAACGGCUUACCAAGGCAACGAUGCAUAGCCGACCUGAGAGGGUGAUCGGCCACACUGGAACUGAGACACGGUCCAGACUCCUACGGGAGGCAGCAGUAGGGAAUCUUCCGAAAUGGGCGAAAGCCAGACGGAGCAACGCCGCGUGAGUGAUGAAGGUCUUCGGAUCGUAAAACUCUGUUAUUAGGGAAGAACAUAUGUGUAAGUAACUGUGCACAUCUUGACGGUACCUAAUCAGAAAGACACGGCUAACUACGUG